GGUGUGGUGGCAUAGUGGGUAAAGCCACCUCCUGCAGUGCUGGCAUCCCAUAUGGGGGCAGGUUCAAAUCCUGCCUGUUCCA
rnacentral:tRNA from 1 species